rnacentral:rRNA from 1 species
UACGUAGGGUGCGAGCGUUGUCCGGAAUUACUGGGCGUAAAGAGCUCGUAGGUGGUUUGUCGCGUUGUUCGUGAAAACUCACAACUCAAUUGUGGGCGUGCGGGCGAUACGGGCAGACUGGAGUACUGCAGGGGAGACUGGAAUUCCUGGUGUAGCGGAGGAAUGCGCUGAUAUCAGGAGGAACACCGGUGGCGAAGGCGGGUCUCUGGGCCGUAACUGACGCUGAGGAGCGAAAGCAUGGGGAGCGAACAGG